rnacentral:rRNA from 1 species
GAUGAACGCUGGCGGCGUGCCUAAUACAUGCAAGUCGAGCGGACAGAAGGGAGCUUGCUCCCGGAAGUCAGCGGCGGACGGGUGAGUAACACGUGGGCAACCUGCCCUGCAGAUUGGGAUAACUCCGGGAAACCGGGGCUAAUACCGAAUAACAUUGGAAACCUCAUGGUUUCCUUUUAAAAGGCGGCUUCGGCUGUCACUGCAGGAUGGGCCCGCGGCGCAUUAGCUAGUUGGUGAGGUAACGGCUCACCAAGGCGACGAUGCGUAGCCGACCUGAGAGGGUGAUCGGCCACACUGGGACGGAGACACGGCCCAGACUCCUACGGGAGGCAGCAGUAGGGAAUCUUCCGCAAUGGACGAAAGUCUGACGGAGCAACGCCGCGUGAGUGAAGAAGGUUUUCGGAUCGUAAAACUCUGUUGUCAGAGAAGAACAAGUACGGUAGUAACUGCCCGUACCUUGACGGUACCUGGCCAGAAAGCCACGGCUAACUACGUGCCAGCAGCCGCAGUAAAAC